CCUACGGGCGGCAGCAGUGAGGAAUAUUGGUCAAUGGACGCAAGUCUGAACCAGCAAUGCCGCGUGCAGGAAGACGGCUCUAGGAGUUGUAAACUGCUUUUGUACGAGAGGAAACGCAGAUACGCGAAUCAGUCAGAAAGUAUCGAACGAAUAAGGAACGGCUAACUAAGGGACAGGAGCCGAGGUAAUACGGAGGAUUCAAGAGUUAACCGGAUUGAUUGGGUUGAAAGGGUGCGUAGGCGGUCGGAUAAGUUAGAGGUGAAAUCCCGAGGCUCAACUUCGGAAUGGCCUCUGAUACUGUUCGGCUAGAGAGUAGUUGCGGUAGGCGGAAUGUAUGGUGUAGCGGUGAAAUGCUUAGAGAUCAUACAGAACACCGAUUGCGAAGGCAGCUUACCAAGCUACUUCUGACGUUGAGGCACGAAAGCGUGGGGAGCAAACAGGAUUAGAUACCCGGGUAGUC
rnacentral:rRNA from 1 species